AUGCUGCUAUUCACCUGGGCUGUAAGUGCAGAACAACACCUUGGUUAUUCUUUCAGUAGAAAGGGAUCAGAUCUUUGGUGACCUGACCUUUGAUCCAUUCAUCUUGCAUAACUCGGUUGGUGGGAAAUUGGAACUGACUGGGACUCAUAGCAACUCAAAAAUGAAGUAUGGACAUGACUUUGUGUUUAUUAACAUCUCCAGCUGAUGCUAUGCGGCAGCAACCAGGAAUCAUUCACAUUGCCAUCUUACAUGUUGCAAUUGUGUUCUUGCCUGUUUUGCAGAGAUCACGACGGCGUCAGUGGCGUUCUCCUCCAUCACAGCCUUUUGAACGGAAUACCCUGUGUUCCAUUUUCAGCUCGACAACAUUCUGAUGAUCAGGUAACUGUUUUGAUGAAGGUUGAAGUGACUACCACGCCAUAAUUCCCUUAAGAGGGGAGCACUUGUACGUUAUCUAUAUUGUAAUGCAGCAUACUCUAGGUGUAAUGCAUAGGUCGUAUUAUUCUUAUCAAACAUUGUAAUUUAUUUGGUGUAAUCUUGAUGUAUGGACUCUUUGUUUUAAUCGACUGUUUGUUUUAAUCUUGAUAUAUGGACUAUUUCGUUUAA